rnacentral:rRNA from 2 species
AAAUUGAAGAGUUUGAUCAUGGCUCAGAUUGAACGCUGGCGGCAGGCCUAACACAUGCAAGUCGAACGGUAACAGGAAGCAGCUUGCUGCUUCGCUGACGAGUGGCGGACGGGUGAGUAAUGUCUGGGAAACUGCCUGAUGGAGGGGGAUAACUACUGGAAACGGUAGCUAAUACCGCAUAAUGUCGCAAGACCAAAGAGGGGGACCUUCGGGCCUCUUGCCAUCGGAUGUGCCCAGAUGGGAUUAGCUUGUUGGUGGGGUAACGGCUCACCAAGGCGACGAUCCCU